AUUGAACGCUGGCGGUAUGCUUAACACAUGCAAGUCGAACGGUAGCAGGCCUUCGGGCGCUGACGAGUGGCGGACGGGUGAGUAACGCGUAGGAAUCUGCCUCAUAGUGGGGGACAACGUGGGGAAACUCACGCUAAUACCGCAUACGCCCUACGGGGGAAAGCGGGGGAUCUUCGGACCUCGCGCUAUGAGAUGAGCCUGCGUUAGAUUAGCUAGUUGGUGGGGUAAAGGCCUACCAAGGCGACGAUCUAUAGCUGGUCUGAGAGGACGAUCAGCCACACUGGGGCUGAGACACGGCCCAGACUCCUACGGGAGGCAGCAGUGGGGAAUAUUGGACAAUGGGCGAAAGCCUGAUCCAGCAAUACCGCGUGUGUGAAGAAGGCCUUAGGGUUGUAAAGCACUUUCAAUUGGGAGGAAAACCUACCGGCCAAUACCCGGUAGCUUGACAUUACCUUUAGAAGAAGCACCGGCUAACUCCGUGCCAGCAGCCGCGGUAAUACGGAGGGUGCAAGCGUUAAUCGGAAUUACUGGGCGUAAAGCGUGCGUAGGCGGUUCGUUAAGUCAGAUGUGAAAGCCCUGGGCUCAACCUGGGAACUGCAUUUGAAACUGGCGGACUAGAGUUUAGUAGAGGGGAGUGGAAUUUCAGGUGUAGCGGUGAAAUGCGUAGAUAUCUGAAGGAACACCAGUGGCGAAGGCGACUCCCUGGACUAAAACUGACGCUGAGGUACGAAAGCGUGGGUAGCAAACAGGAUUAGAUACCCUGGUAGUCCACGCCGUAAACGAUGUCAACUAGCCGUUGGUCCUAUUUACAGGAUUAGUGGCGCAGCUAACGCAUUAAGUUGACCGCCUGGGGAGUACGGCCGCAAGGUUA
rnacentral:rRNA from 1 species